rnacentral:rRNA from 1 species
UGAGUAACACGUGGGAACCUACCUAGGGGUACGGAAUAACUCGGGGAAACUCGUGCUAAUACCGUAUACGACCUUCGGGUGAAAGAUUUAUCGCCCCUAGAUGGGCCCGCGCUGGAUUAGCUAGUUGGUGGGGUAAAAGCCUACCAAGGCGACGAUCCAUAGCUGGUCUGAGAGGAUGAUCAGCCACACUGGGACUGAGACACGGCCCAGACUCCUACGGGAGGCAGCAGUGGGGAAUCUUGGACAAUGGGGGAAACCCUGAUCCAGCCAUGCCGCGUGAGUGAUGAAGGCCCUAGGGUUGUAAAGCUCUUUCGCCAGGGAAGAUAAUGACGGUACCUGGAUAAGAAGCCCCGGCUAACUCCGUGCCAGCAGCCGCGGUAAUACGGAGGGGGCUAGCGUUGUUCGGAAUUACUGGGCGUAAAGCGCACGUAGGCGGCUAUCCAAGUUGGGGGUGAAAUCCCUGGGCUUAACCCAGGAACUGCCUUCAAAACUGGAUGGCUAGAGUCCGAGAGAGGUGAGUGGAAUUUCCAGUGUAGAGGUGAAAUUCGUAGGAUAUUGGAAAGAACACCAGUGGCGAAAGGCGGCUCACUGGCUCGGUACUGACGCUGAGGUGCGACAGGCGUGGGGGAGCAAACAGGAUUAGAUACCCUGGGUAGUUCCACGCCGUAAACGAUGGGUUGCUAGUUGUCCAGGCGGCCUUGCCUUGUUUGGGUGACGCCA